UACGGGGGGGGCAAGCGUUGUUCGGAAUUACUGGGCGUAAAGGGCUCGUAGGCGGCCAACUAAGUCGGACGUGAAAUCCCUCAGCUUAACUGGGGAACUGCGUCCGAUACUGGAUGGCUUGGAUUUGGGAGAGGGAUGCGGAAUUCCAGGUGUAGCGGUGAAAUGCGCAGAUAUCAGGAGGAACACCGGUGGCGAAGGCGGGUCUCUGGGCCGAUACUGACGCUGAGGAGCGAAAGCGUGGGGAGCGAACAGG
rnacentral:rRNA from 1 species